CCUACGGGAGGCAGCAGUGAGGAAUAUUGGUCAAUGGGCGCGAGCCUGAACCAGCCAAGUAGCGUGAAGGAUGACUGCCCUACGGGUUGUAAACUUCUUUUAUAAAGGAAUAAAGUGAUGCACGUGUGCCUUUUUUUUGUACUUUAUUAAUAAGGAUCGGCUAAAUCCGUGCCAGCAGCCCCGGUAAUACGGGGGAUCCGAGCGUUAUCCGGAUUUUUUGGGUUUAAAGGGAGCGUAGAUGGGUUGUUAAGUCAGUUGUGAAAGUUUGCGGCUCAACCGUAAAAUUGCAAUUGAUACUGGCAGCCUUGAGUACAGUAGAGGUAGGCGGAAUUCGUGGUGUAGCGGUGAAAUGCUUAGAUAUCACGAAGAACUCCGAUUGCGAAGGCAGUUUACUAAACUGCCACUGACAUUGAUGCUCGAAAGUGUGGGUAUCAAACAGGAUUAGAUACCCUGGUAGUC
rnacentral:rRNA from 1 species